rnacentral:lncRNA from 1 species
AUGGGUUGUAUGAGAUCUUCCCUUUGACGCAAGCCCAUGGAAACACACUUAACCCCCACAUAGAACUCUCACGAAGACCAUGGGUUAGUACACAAACACGUAAUGGACAAUGCUUACCAUACCAUGGGAUCACUUGAUCCCUCUCGGUACAUCUUGUACGCUUUGUGUGUUGAUCAUCUUGAUUUACUCUUUGUCUGAGAUCUUGAUCAACCAUGUGUCUCUAUGA